rnacentral:rRNA from 1 species
GACAGAGGGGGCAAGCGUUGCUCGGAAUCACUGGGCGUAAAGGGCGCGUAGGCGGGCUGGCAAGUCAGUCGUGAAAUCUCUCGGCUCAACCGAGAAACGUCGGCUGAUACUGCCGUUCUUGAGGGAUGCAGAGGAGACUGGAAUUCCCGGUGUAGCGGUGAAAUGUGUAGAGAUCGGGAGGAACACCGGUGGCGAAGGCGGGUCCCUGGGCAUUUCCUGACGCUGAGGCGCGAAAGCGUGGGGAGCAAACGGG